UACGAGGGGGGCAAGCGUUGUCCGGAUUUAUUGGGCGUAAAGAGCGUGUAGGCGGCCAUACAGGUCAGCUGUGAAAACUCGAGGCUCAACCUCGAGACGUCGGUUGAAACCGUAUGGCUAGAGUCCGGAAGAGGAGAGUGGAAUUCCCGGUGUAGCGGUGAAAUGCGCAGAUAUCGGGAAGAACACCUAUGGCGAAGGCAGCUCUCUGGGACGGUACUGACGCUGAGACGCGAAGCGUGGGGAGCGAACAGG
rnacentral:rRNA from 1 species